rnacentral:rRNA from 1 species
UACGGGGGGGGUAAGCGUUGUUCGGAAUUACUGGGCGUAAAGGGCUCGUAGGCGGGCCAACUAAGUCAAUGACGUGAAAUCCCGUCAGCCUUAACUGGGGGAACUGCGUGUGAUACUGGAUGGCUUGGAUUUGGGGAGAGGGAUGCGGAAUUCCAGGUGUAGGCGGUAGAAAUGCGUAGAUAUCUGGAGGAACACCGGUGGCGAA